rnacentral:tRNA from 13 species
CAUUAGAUGACUGAAAGCAAGUACUGGUCUCUUAAACCAUUUUAUAGUAAAUUAGCAUUUACUUCUAAUGA